CAAAUUACAACACACACACCUGGGCAAUAUAAAGCAAGGACACCUGAAAUAACGCCAGGUAAUAAGAAAUGCCUAGGUAAUAACGUGAGUCUCCGUGGAUAAGCCAGAAGGAAGAGGAGGAGGAGGAGAGAGCGAGGGAGCGAGAAAGGAAGGAAGGUAAAAGGGGGUGAGAAGGCUCGGAGUUUAGUCCCGUUCAGUGUGGCUUGAGCUGUGAGAGAGGAAGGUCGUACGCCGCUCCCUCUACCCCUCUCCACCUACGGAACGACCACAAGAAGAAGCAGAGGAGGAAGAGGCAAAGCAAGAUGGAGAGAUCGUAAAAAUCCCAGAGAGAAAAAAAGUUAUUAUGAACGACUAACGGAUAAAGGGAAUAGAGAGGAAGAGAAAGGAGAACGAGGGAAGAGAGCAAAAGGCAGAGAGUGAGGUAGAAGAUAGCAACAAAUCAGAGAGAAAGGAAAACAGUGUAGGAGGAGGAAAAGUAAAAAUAAGAAAUAGACACGGAGAAAGAGAAUAUAGAACAAGGGGAGACAGAACACAGGUAAAGAAGUAAAAGUAAAGAAAACAGAGAAUAAGACAGAAAAGACAGAAAAGUUAAAAAGAACCAAAGUAAAAGUGAAGAGACAACAGAGAACACAAAAAAAGAGAGACAGAAAAGUUACAGAAACAAAAAAAUAAAAGUACGUCAGAAGAAGAACUAAAAAUGGAACGGUCACAGAAAAACAAAAUCUAGAAAACAAAACAAAAAAUAAACAAACAAAAAGAAAAAAACAAUUAGUGUGAAGUAAACUAACGAAAUAAAAGAAAAAAUAGGAAAAAAUACAUCACAAAAAGAAAACACAAGAACAACAAAAGAAAUAUAAACAGAAAAUAACAGAAACAAAAGGAAAAAACAAGAAGAGUGAAAAAAAACAAAAUAAAGACAAAACAAAAAAAUCAGAAGCAACAAAACAAUAAUAUACAGAAACGAAGAGAAAGGUAGAAAAAAGAAAGGAAGAGAAACAGCAAAACAAUUAAUUACAGAAAAAGAAGAGAAAGAUAAAAGAGAAGGAAAACAUCACCUGCUCCUUCUCCUCGUACCUGCUAUCAAGGCAUCCAGGUAAGCAGUGAAUGUGUGGGGCCACUUAGCAACGUGACAGGUAUUCUCAGGCCAGGUAACGGAGCACACCAACCGGCCACUAACGGAACAGGGCCGGAAUAGCUAGGAACCGAACCCUCCCACUCUGUCUGAUGUGUUGAGAUAGAUAAGAAGAGAAGGGAGAGGAAAACUGUGCAGGAGGAAUAUCAGACAGAAAUACACAGAAAGAAAGAUAAUAUAGGAUAAGGAGACAAAGGAUAAAGAAUUAACCUAACAGUUCCGGAUAAGUGGAUAACCGAACAAUCUGAGUCAGUCCGGAUACGUGUUGAAACGGACGAUUACCCAACAGUUCCGGACUAGUGAUUAACCGAAACAAUCCGAAUCAGCCCGGAUAAAAGUUGAAACCGGACGAUUAUCUAAGAAUUCCGGAUAAGUGAAUAAUCGAACAGCUCAAAUCAGUCUGGAUAUUGGUUCAGACCGGACGCUUAUCUAACUGAUUCGGAUAAGUGGCUAACCCAGAGUCCGAGUCAGUCCGGAUAAGAAGAAGAAAAAUACCAGAAAUAGCGAUCAACCGAACCUAACUUUAGUCCGUAUCAUUGAGUAACUGAACCGGAUGAAAUAGUGACCAUCCGUACCGUUCAAUUCAGUCCGGAUAAGAGAGUGGAUAAACCGAACCAAAUAGCGAUUAGCCUUAAAUUUCAAGUCAGUCCGGAUAAAAGAGUGGAUAAACCGUACGAAAUAGUGCUCAACCGUAAAUUUCAAGUCAUUCCGGAUAGCAGAGUCGUUGAACCGGGCGGAUACGAAGCAAAACCGGAAUAGUGCGUAACCGAAACCUCCGGAAAAUGGGAAGACAUCCGGAUUUCCCGUAAGAAGGAAGGAGCGAGUCACGGAUGAUGGAGUGACGGGCGGAUCCUCUUGAAAUUGCUUCGAAUCGCCGUCUCGCAUUCCGGAUUACGACUUGACGGUUUGUGUAAGUGUGACUGUGAGCGUGUGUGUUUGUGUAUCCUCAGGUGUUUCCGGGCCCAGGUGAAAAGGUGAGCUAGCAGGGAGUAGUGGAUUAAAAAAGAAAUAGCAAAGAUAAAACAAAGGAAGAACGUGAGAAGUGGAAGAACGGAGUAACGGAUUAAAAAGAAAUAGAAAGGACGAGACUAAAAAAGAACGUGAGGAACAGAAAAAAACGGAACAAUGGAUUAAAGAGACAAAUAAAACAGUGAAGGAAAUUCUAAGCAGUGAAAACCGUGAAGCAGAGGAAAGAAAAAGAACGACAUAGAAAAAAAGGAAGGUAGAAAAGGAGAAAUAUAUAAACGGUGUAAACAAAGAAACAGUGAAAAGAAACAAAUGAUAAGGCGAAACUAAAAUAUUUUGUGGCGUUGUAAAAAGAAAAGGUAUCUAAAACAGUGAAAACAAAAACUGAGAAAACGGUGAAAACAAAUAGGCUUUAAAAGUGAAACUGAAAAAAUAAACUGAAAUAAAGAGGUUAAAAUAAAGUCUGGAAAAAGGUGACAUUAAACAUACAUAAAAAAAAGGGAAAUUAAAGUUUGUAAAGGUGAAACUCAACAUAUAAACUUAAAAAAAAGGUUAAAAUAAAGUCUGGGAAAAAGAGUGAUGCUGAAAAUACUUAAAAAAAAACGGGAAA